GAUGAAGAACGCAGUGAAAUGCGAUAAGUAGUGUGAAUUGCAGAAUUCAGUGAAUCAUCGAAUCUUUGAACGCACAUUGCGCCCCUUGGUAUUCCAUGGGGCAUGCCUGUUCGAGCGUCAUUUGUACCUUCAAGCUCUGCUUGGUGUUGGGUGAUUGUCUAUCUUUUUAGACUCGCCUUAAAGUCAUUGGCAGCCGGCAUAUUGGCCUGGGAGCGCAGCACAAGUCGCGCUUCUUGUCAUGAAUGUUGGCGUCCAGUAAGUCUACAUAUUUUGCUCUUGACCUCGGAUCAGGUAGGGAUACCCGCUGAACUUAAGCAUAUCAAUAAGCGGAGGA
rnacentral:misc_RNA from 1 species